rnacentral:rRNA from 1 species
UCACUGAUGGAUGGACCCGCGGUGCAUUAGCUAGUUGGUGAGGUAACGGCUCACCAAGGCGACGAUGCAUAGCCGACCUGAGAGGGUGAUCGGCCACAUUGGGACUGAGACACGGCCCAAACUCCUACGGGAGGCAGCAGUAGGGAAUCUUCGGCAAUGGACGAAAGUCUGACCGAGCAACGCCGCGUGAGUGAAGAAGGUUUUCGGAUCGUAAAACUCUGUUGUUAGAGAAGAACAAGGAUGAGAGUAACUGUUCAUCCCUUGACGGUAUCUAACCAGAAAGCCACGGCUAACUACGUGCCAGCAGCCGCGGUAAUACGUAGGUGGCAAGCGUUGUCCGGAUUUAUUGGGCGUAAAGCGAGCGCAGGCGGUUUCUUAAGUCUGAUGUGAAAGCCCCCGGCUCAACCGGGGAGGGUCAUUGGAAACUGGGAGACUUGAGUGCAGAAGAGGAGAGUGGAAUUCCAUGUGUAGCGGUGAAAUGCGUAGAUAUAUGGAGGAACACCAGUGGCGAAGGCGGCUCUCUGGUCUGUAACUGACGCUGAGGCUCGAAAGCGUGGGGAGCAAACAGGAUUAGAUACCCUGGUAGUCCACGCCGUAAACGAUGAGUGCUAAGUGUUGGAGGGUUUCCGCCCUUCA